UACGUAGGGGGCAAGCGUUGUCCGGAUUUAUUGGGCGUAAAGAGCGUGUAGGCGGCCAGACAGGUCCACUGUGAAAACUCGAGGCUCAACCUCGAGAGGUCGGUGGAAACCGUCUGGCUAGAGUCCGGAAGAGGAGAGUGGAAUUCCCGGUGUAGCGGUGAAAUGCGCAGAUAUCAGGAGGAACACCUGUGGCGAAAGCGGCGCACUGGACCACAACUGACGCUGAGGCGCGAAAGCUAGGGGAGCAAACAGG
rnacentral:rRNA from 1 species